rnacentral:rRNA from 1 species
GACGAACGCUGGCGGCGUGCCUAAUACAUGCAAGUAGAACGCACAGGAUGCACCGUAGUUUACUACACCGUAUUCUGUGAGUUGCGAACGGGUGAGUAACGCGUAGGUAACCUGCCUGGUAGCGGGGGAUAACUAUUGGAAACGAUAGCUAAUACCGCAUAAGAACAUUUACUGCAUGGUAGAUGUUUAAAAGGUGCAAAUGCAUCACUACCAGAUGGACCUGCGUUGUAUUAGCUAGUAGGUGAGGUAACGGCUCACCUAGGCGACGAUACAUAGCCGACCUGAGAGGGUGAUCGGCCACACUGGGACUGAGACACGGCCCAGACUCCUACGGGAGGCAGCAGUAGGGAAUCUUCGGCAAUGGGGGGAACCCUGACCGAGCAACGCCGCGUGAGUGAAGAAGGUUUUCGGAUCGUAAAGCUCUGUUGUUAAGGAAGAACGAGUGUGAGAAUGGAAAGUUCAUACUGUGACGGUACUUAACCAGAAAGAGACGGCUAACUACGUG